GGCCUAACACAUGCAAGUCGAGCGGAAACGACACUAACAAUCCUUCGGGUGCGUUAAUGGGCGUCGAGCGGCGGACGGGUGAGUAAUGCCUAGGAAAUUGCCUUGAUGUGGGGGAUAACCAUUGGAAACGAUGGCUAAUACCGCAUAAUGCCUACGGGCCAAAGAGGGGGACCUUCGGGCCUCUCGCGUCAAGAUAUGCCUAGGUGGGAUUAGCUAGUUGGUGAGGUAAUGGCUCACCAAGGCGACGAUCCCUAGCUGGUCUGAGAGGAUGAUCAGCCACACUGGAACUGAGACACGGUCCAGACUCCUACGGGAGGCAGCAGUGGGGAAUAUUGCACAAUGGGCGAAAGCCUGAUGCAGCCAUGCCGCGUGUAUGAAGAAGGCCUUCGGGUUGUAAAGUACUUUCAGUUGUGAGGAAGGGGGUAGCGUUAAUAGCGCUAUCUCUUGACGUUAGCAACAGAAGAAGCACCGGCUAACUCCGUGCCAGCAGCCGCGGUAAUACGGAGGGUGCGAGCGUUAAUCGGAAUUACUGGGCGUAAAGCGCAUGCAGGUGGUUCAUUAAGUCAGAUGUGAAAGCCCGGGGCUCAACCUCGGAACUGCAUUUGAAACUGGUGAACUAGAGUACUGUAGAGGGGGGUAGAAUUUCAGGUGUAGCGGUGAAAUGCGUAGAGAUCUGAAGGAAUACCAGUAGGCGAAGGCGGCUCCCUGGA
rnacentral:rRNA from 1 species